rnacentral:rRNA from 1 species
UGUUAUUUUUUAAAUAUUUUUUAUUGUUGAAGAAAUUAGGAUAUAUUUAUAUAUUUAUAAUAAUUAAAAUUUUAAAAAAUUUUUUAUUUGAUUUUUAAUUUUAUAUAAAAAUUAUAAUUAUUAAUAUAUAGAAAUUUUGAUUAAAAAGAUUUUAAUUUUUUUGUUAUAUUUUUUAUUAUAAUAUUUUUUUUUUUUAAUGUUAAUUUUCAUUAAAUAAUAAUUUAAUUAUUAUUAUUCUAUUUAUUAUUUAUUAUUAAAUUAAUAAUAAGUUUGAAUUAGAUUUAAUAUAAAAUAUUUCUUAAAAUUUGAGAAAAUUUAGGUUUUGAUUUUUUAUUUCUACUCGAUGAAAAUUAAAUUGUAUCUUUAGCGUGAUUGAUCAAAGGUAGCAUAGUAAUUUGUUUUUUUAUUGGAUUCUGGGAUGAAGAAAAUUAUUAUAUUAUAUUUAAUAAUUUUUAAAAGAAAUUUUUAAUUAUUUAAAAAUUAAUAAUUUUUAUAAAACUAAGAUAAGUCUUUAGAAAUUAAUUUAAUAUUAAUUUAAUUAGGGUAAUUUAUUAUUUAUUAGGUUUUUCUUAUUAAAAUAUAUAUAAUUUCUCUAGAGUUAACAGGAAUAAAAAUUUUUUUUUAUUUUUUUUACAUCGUUGUUGUUUUAUUUUUUAUUUAAAAAUAGAAAGUUUAAAUUAGAAGAUUGUUCUUCUAGGUUAAAAUACGUGAAAUUAGUUUAAUUCGUUGUGAAAUAGAAUUGUUUAUCUAGUUUAUUAUUUAUAUAAGUAAAGUGUACGAAAGGAUAUUUAUUUUAAAUUUAAUUUUUU